GAUGAACGCUGGCGGCGUGCCUAAUACAUGCAAGUCGAGCGAACGGACGAGAAGCUUGCUUCUCUGAUGUUAGCGGCGGACGGGUGAGUAACACGUGGAUAACCUACCUAUAAGACUGGGAUAACUUCGGGAAACCGUAGCUAAUACCGGAUAAUAUUUUGAACCGCAUGGUUCAAAAGUGAAAGACGGUCUUGCUGUCACUUAUAGAUGGAUCCGCGCUGCAUUAGCUAGUUGGUAAGGUAACGGCUUACCAAGGCAACGAUGCAUAGCCGACCUGAGAGGGUGAUCGGCCACACUGGAACUGAGACACGGUCCAGACUCCUACGGGAGGCAGCAGUAGGGAAUCUUCCGCAAUGGGCGAAAGCCUGACGGAGCAACGCCGCGUGAGUGAUGAAGGUCUUCGGAUCGUAAAACUCUGCUAUUAGGGAAGAACAUAUGUGUAAGUAACUGUGCACAUCUUGACGGUACCUAAUCAGAAAGCCACGGCUAACUACAUG
rnacentral:rRNA from 1 species